GUAUCCGUCCUAUAUAUUGAUUUUCAUAUUAGUGAGUAAGUAGUACAAUGUCAUUGCAAUGAAGAAGUUGAUAAUAUUAUUGCAUAUAUGUAAGAAAGCAAAUGCAUCUGCUUUGUGUAUUACACAAAUUUCAACUUAUGCUCAUAUGAUAAUUCUCUUUUCGAACUUAAAAGGCUUCUCUAGAGAAAAUUGAGAGACAUGUUCUUCAAAUUGAUCACAAUAGCCAUGUUGCCAUUAAGAUUAGCCACCAAAAUGCUGUAGAAAACAUGACCAAGUGCCUCCACAUGAUUUUAUUGGAAUUGUUGAUUUUAAAAAUCCAAUUUAAAAACAAAACAUUGCUAUGUAAUCAUGAAAACCAAAGAAUUGAAAAAUAACAUCAAAUUUCUUUCCUUCUCUAAGUUCGUUCCUGCAAAACCAGGAAGAAAAAUAAUGUCUUACAUAAAAGAGAGGACACUUUGGCUAAAGCUCUUCAUUUACUGGACUCGGAAAAUUUGCUUACUACCAAAUUUAUUUAUCCCAAAAAUAAAAAGAAAAUACUUUUUGAUAUAGAAGCAUCAUCUAUUGACUACAAAUUUCAAGUAUUUCUUGGGAGUAACAAUGUCACACAAGUAGAUAUGAGAAUUAAGAUGGGCGUCUUCUCCUUAUCAGUUCUAAAAUAUUUCGAGUAGACUCCCUACAUGUGAUUACUUAGGUCAGAUGGUAAGUGUUGAAGCUCCUGUUAGUGUUCGCUCUUUAUCAGAGGUAUCAUGAGACAUAGAUACAAUUCUAAACCUAUUGAUAGAACAUAUAAAUUAUUACCCUGUAUUUUGUUUUUAAUAUAUAACCCGUCUCAUUUCAGCCUUCAAGUACCUUUCUUGUCCAUUUGUUUACCUCAAGUCAGUAACUCCAAAAUGGCAAGAGAACUUUUCAUUGUUAAUGAUAUCUUUGAUAGAGCAUUUUCUACUAACAGCUUGCUCAAACAUGUUGGUCACUUUCCAUGUUAAUGCAGUGAGCCUCAAGUCCAUUUCUCGUGAUUAUAGAUGCUAGAAUAACUAUAAUAUUCAGACGUUGAAGAGUCUAAAGACAUCUCGGAAGCAUUUGACAAAGAAGGGUUAUCCUCAUCCUAGAGAGAAAUCAGUAAGCAUGUUAACUUCAAGUCAUAUGUAUAAUAAGUAAUUACCGAGAAAUAAAAAAUGAUUCAGAAACAAUGAAUUACAUCAAGUGACUAAUAUGCUCUGCCUAUUAAAUUUGUAAGAUUUAAGCUCUAUCUGGUACACUAACUUUAAACUUUAAGUUACGGGACUUAGCACACAGGACCUUUGUUUGUUAUAGGGGAACCAUCUCUAUUAGUCAAGCUUGACAGUCACUACCUAACGUUUUUGGUAAAUAAAAAUUCAAUAUGUCCGAGAAUGAAAAUGAGGACAUAUUCAGCAGAAAGUUUGAAAGUUUAUUGAACCAAAAUAAAUGAUAACCCAAUUACUGCUUAAGGAUAGGGCAUACUUCAGGAAAGGUUGAGAGAAAUAGAAAACCUGAACUCCACAUGAAGUCCCAUUUCAUUAAAAUUCAUCACAUAUCAAAAGAUAGAGAUCAUGCCAAAUCAUAUUAACUUGUAUUGAUGAAUUGUUUAAGGUAAAUUUAAUAGUAGGCUAUGAUUUUAAACAUCCAAUGCAGAAAAAUACUUUAUAUAUCUGCAGAUAGACAUGAACAUAAUCUAAAGCAAAUACAUACAUAUUACAUAGAGUACAAAAGACAAUUGAUCUCGUGCUUCAAUCAUCUUAGGAAUAUCCUCAUGCUAAAGGGAAGAAAUUAUCACUAACAUGGUGCCUCCAUUAGUUGGAGGCACAAGUUAUUCCUAAGUUUAAAUAUCGAUUCAAAACUAUAAAAGAUACUUUGAACAAGAAAAAGAAAGAAGCAGUAAACCAGUGAAAGUGAAUUACCAACCUGACCAGCAAGUGAGAAUAGCAAGAUUCCCCUUGACCUCCUUGGGGAGUUGGCAGUUGAAUUCAUCAAAAGAAUAAACUGAAAACUUAAAGGAUGACAACACCUUUAAGCUUCAAUCUUCAUAUCAAUGUUUGAUGAGCUAUGAAUAACUAAGGUUGUCUAAAUCGAAAUAAACUCAACUACAUAGUAAUCGUGAAGAAAUAGAGAUUACCUUGCAAUGUAUAAGCAUAAAUCUCAUAUCAUAUUUAAGCCAACAUUCUCACCCUACCUGCAAUCAAAUCAGCCAAAUAAACCAAAAAAAGGAGUGUGUAAUCCAUAUAGUGACCCUAAAUAUCAACUCAACUAAUUAAAAUAAUAAAAUCAAAUUCGAAGAAGUGAAAUAAUUAGCUUUAAGUUGUAGAGCAUCUGUUAAAAGAUCAAAGAAUGCAUAUUAUCAAGCACUUCUCUACUGAUCUAUAUCGCAAGAUCCCAACAUUUACAAGUUAUGCUCUUCUAUAUAAUAAAAAAAAAAAGUUUUAGAUUUUUCAUUUCAGGUGAGAUCUAUAGCACAAGAUCCCAGCAUUUAUUGUGAGGUGAUCAUCGGUGUCAGGUUGUGUUUGAUGUUGUUGAUUCUCUUGGUAUUCCUAAAAUGCAAACUUUAAGUAUUGAUGGUGUUUUAGAUCAAUCCCAUUGUUCGAGGAAAUAUCUCGUUUAGUAAAUGAAGAGUCCAACCUAAUUAUAUUUAACAAUUCUUUCCUAAACUAUUACAAUGGAUCUAAUAAUUCCUUUCUCAGAAGAUGGUCAUAGCUUUCUAGAGCAAUCCUUGGUGACUUAUGUUUGUCAUAGUUAAUUUCAGAUUCUUCAAAAAAAAGAGGUAUAAUUUUUUUAAAAAAAAACAGAGAAGUAUAGGAUUUGACUUUCGUACGAUGAAACAUUUAUCCAUACUGCAUAAAGGAAGAACUGCAAUCUUUCAUUUAAGAGCAAUUCUUAGGGGUGCAGUCCUGAGUCACAAACUACUACAUUCAUAUUCACCUCAUUU
rnacentral:lncRNA from 1 species